rnacentral:rRNA from 1 species
CCUACGGGAGGCAGCAGUAGGGAAUAUUGGUCAAUGGGCGAAAGCCUGAACCAGCAACGCCGCGUGUGCGAUGAAGGCCUUCGGGUCGUAAAGCACUUUUCUGGGAGAUGAGAAAGGACAGUAUCCCAGGAAUAAGUCUCGGCUAACUACGUGCCAGCAGCCGCGGUAAAACGUAGGAGGCGAGCGUUAUCCGGAUUCACUGGGCGUAAAGCGCGUGCAGGUGGCUUGGUAAGUUAGGCGUGAAAUCUCCCGGCUCAACUGGGAGAGGUCGUCUAAUACUACCGGGCUUGAGAGCAGAAGAGGAAGAUGGAAUUCCCGGUGUAGUGGUGAAAUGCGUAGAUAUCGGGAGGAACACCAGUGGCGAAGGCGAUCUUCUGGUCUGUUUCUGACACUCAGACGCGACAGCUAGGGUAGUAAACGGGAUUAGAGACCCCGGUAAUCCUAGCCGUAAACGAUGUGAACUUGGCGUUGGUGGGUUAAACUCCAUCAGUGCCGCAGCAAACGCGAUAAGUUCACCGCCUGGGGACUACGGCCGCAAGGUUAAAACUCAAAGGAAUUGACGG